UCUUGGGCGUAAUUUCAAAUUUCAAAUUUCAAACAACCCUAGGUAUUUUCAGAUCGUGAACAAUCCUACCUGUUUCUCCACAAAACCGCUUCGUCUCCGCUCUGUUCAUCGAUGGAUUCCGCUGCUACUUACAUCUUUCCUUCUUUUCCUUCAAUUAUCAUUUUCACCGUCAAAACCAGUUGUUUUGCUUGAGUUAUUCGAAACCAGGAUCCAUGAGGGAGCAAUUAGGGCUAUUUUCAAGAGAGACCGUCAGGUAAACUGUGCGAGAUGCCACCAUGCUCCCCAUCCAUUAAGUGUUUUGCUGUUUUGAUUUGGAGAGAAUUGAAGACUCUUGAUUCCUAGGGUUUGAUUAUAAGAAACUCUAAUCCAACUUAUAUAGUUUUCUUUGAUGAUAAACUGAUUAGGAUGUUCAUAUGGGACAGCGGUGGUGGAGAAACAUUUUUGUUGGUGAAAGAAACCCAAUAUGAAGAAGAAAGCUUAAGAUAGUACUGGUCGAAGUAAUAAUAGUGUUUAAGCUCGGACGUAUAAAGAGAGCCAUAGAGUUUCUUGGUCUCAAGGAAAUGACAUAUUGAGGCCAUCUGAUUUGAAUACAUUUAUAUUCAUUGAUUAGCUUCUUUGACUUUCUCGCAUCGAAUACGUGGUGGAGGCCAAUUUAGGUGGUCGCCAAAAAUGGGGAGAACAAGCAAAAUAUGGAAACCUUUUUGAUAAAACGAAGGUUGGAAGCAAAACGCUUGGCCAAAAAUGGCACAGUUUCUCAUUUGUGUAGUUCUACAUUUGUUGUUGAUUGUUAGCCAUCGCGGUCUAAUAGACCGAUCUGAGACAAAUGACUCCGUUGCGUAACGGGUAGAAAAGACAAAUUUUUAUACGGGUAUCCGAGGGUAUUGGCUCAAGGUUUUUGCCUUGGCAACAUUUAGGAAUUGGGAUGCCUUGGAGAAAUUUUCAAAGGAGAAAAGGCCUCCGAUGCUACACAUUUUGAUGAUUACUCAAUAAACAAGUCUUUCCACGCCAAACUUAGAAAAAGAGUGGCUGCAAGGAAGAUGGGACUUCCGAUAAAAUUAUUACCAGAAUUAGAGAAAUAUAUGGUGGCUACUAAACAUGUCAAGUUCUCUUCAAACAUUAGUAAAAUCUUUGUCAAUCUUCCUGAUUCGUAUUGUUUAAAUUUGAAAAGGUUGGAACUUGAGGCAAAAAACCACUCAAAAUAAGCAUGAGAGUCCUUGUGUAUAUUUCAUUGGAUGAUGAAGUAAUCUACUUCUAUACAUUACAAGUGCGUCUACAAAUUGAAGCGGUUGCAACGUUGCCUUUUAAGACAUUUACAUGUUUAAGUCACUUGCUAUGGGAGGGUGGAGAAAUUUUGAUGAAUGUCAACCGUACUUUCUAUCUUACCUGUCCUUUUUAUCUAUUUUGUUUUUUUGAAGAUACUUAAUUGUAUUCUAUGUUAUAAUAUUGUGUUUGAUAUUGUUUUCUUAAACUGAACAAUUAAGUUGUUAAGUCAAUCUUAGAGUUAAAUUCAUGUUUAAAAAUUACACUC
rnacentral:lncRNA from 1 species